rnacentral:tRNA from 2 species
GGCUCGGUAGCUCAGUUGGUAAGGCGCUCGUCUAGCAUACAAGAGUCCUGGGUUCAAAUCCCAGCCGAGCAA